rnacentral:rRNA from 1 species
GUGAGGAAUAUUGGUCAAUGGGCGAGAGCCUGAACCAGCCAAGUAGCGUGCAGGAUGACGGCCCUAUGGGUUGUAAACUGCUUUUAUGCGGGGAUAAAGUGCGCGACGUGUCGCGCAUUGCAGGUACCGCAUGAAUAAGGACCGGCUAAUUCCGUGCCAGCAGCCGCGGUAAUACGGAAGGUCCGGGCGUUAUCCGGAUUUAUUGGGUUUAAAGGGAGCGUAGGCCGCCAGGUAAGCGUGUUGUGAAAUGUACCGGCUCAACCGGUGAAUUGCAGCGCGAACUGUCUGGCUUGAGUGCACGGUAAGCAGGCGGAAUUCAUGGUGUAGCGGUGAAAUGCUUAGAUAUCAUGAAGAACUCCGAUUGCGAAGGCAGCUUGCUGCAGUGCGACUGACGCUGAUGCUCGAAGGUGCGGGUAUCAAACAGGAUUAGAAACCCCUGUAGUCC